rnacentral:misc_RNA from 1 species
GAAAGCUUCAGAAACAAGAAAAAUGCAGUCUAGUUUGUUGGAUGGGCCCUAAGGUUGUUUUGAAGUGCAGACUUGUAUGAGAUAGUCAUUGAUUUUUCCUUUUUUUGCUUUAGAUUCCAUUAUUUUCCUUCCAGGAUGGAAUCACUGAUGCUGUAUGCGAGAAGAGAGUAAUUGUUAUCUCUCGUCUCACCAUCUAGCUUUUACCAACUGACUUUUGCUGUUAUGACUGUUAAUAUAUUUUGCUGUAGACAUUGUCAGGUGGAGAGCCGUGGAUACGAAGUUUUUUGGUUGUCACUGUUGAAAGUGCUCCAUGUCAAGAGCAAUAUAUUAUAUAAUUUUAUCUCCAGAUGAUACAUAAUAUUACAAAGAC